CAAAGAGCUGGAACUGAGCGCGUUUCUGUCCUGCUCCGUGCACUUGGAGUGACACACCUGCCGGUGAGAUGUGUUUGUGUGGGAAAGACAGAGACAGCACACCCUCAGAGCCUCGACACCGAGAUCCACCUCAGCCUCCGCCAGCCCUGGAAUACAGCCAAGUGCAUGCCUGACCCUCGGGGAGGCCUCCAGACUUGAAUCCACACCAUCCCGCGUGGGACCCUCUCAGAGCAUCCCAUUGUGUGACUGGGCCACCUUCCGUCCCCACACCUGACAUUUUCGUCAUGGAGAACAGAGUUGGGAAUGCUCUGUCUUCACCCGUGAGAUGGGCUGGGAACUGUGUCUCCCUCCCAGGCUUGAGCUCCCACAUUGCUUCGGAUGGUGCUCCCCCUCUCAGACCUCAUCUGAGCAUCAACCACACACACUUAAAAUAUGCCCGGGCUGUAACUCAUACCACAAGCCGAGGCUCAACCCAGAGCCAUGCACAAACGACUCGUGAAUGGUGUCAUCCUGCCUGGGAGGGAAGGGGAGCCUGAACUUCCUUAUCCAGGCCUUCACAGCUGAGCCUGAAUCUGACAGCAGCGGAUUUUGCCCUGGGAGAGGGGACCAAGAAGAACAGCAAUUGCAGUACUGCACCCCCAGAAACAUGCACCUGGAGGUGGUAUUUUGCACAAAACCUCACCUAGAUGCUUGGCUUUCAUGAGAAUAAAUGUGCUCCUCAAUAAAUAUUACUAAAGUUUUGUUAUGAGCAAAAAUAUUGUCCUGGUGGCUGAGCCUGAAUUAAAUGUAAUUUGUAUGUCAGACACAUUGUAAUAAAAACAUUUUACCUUUU